rnacentral:rRNA from 1 species
UACAGAGGGGGCAAGCGUUGUUCGGAAUUACUGGGCGUAAAGGGCGCGUAGGCGGCCUGUUAAGUCGAACGUGAAAUCCCCGGGCUCAACCCGGGAACUGCGUCCGAUACUGGCAGGCUUGAAUCCGGGAGAGGGAUGCGGAAUUCCAGGUGUAGCGGUGAAAUGCGUAGAUAUCUGGAGGAACACCGGUGCGAAGGCGGUUCUGCUGGGCCUUACCUGACGCUGAGGAGCGAAAGCGUGGGGAGCGAACAGG